GGUUAUGGCUCAGUGGUAGAGCGCUUGCCUCGCAUGUGUGAGGCACUGGGUUCAAUUCUCAGCACCA
rnacentral:tRNA from 1 species